rnacentral:rRNA from 1 species
GGGUGGAUGGGGCGCAGCCUGAUCCAGCCAUGCCGCGUGUCUGAAGAAGGCCUUCGGGUUGUAAAGGACUUUUGUCAGGGAGGAAAUCCCGGUGGUUAAUACCUGGCGGGGAUGACAGUACCUGAAGAAUAAGCACCGGCUAACUACGUGCCAGCAGCCGCGGUAAUACGUAGGGUGCAAGCGUUAAUCGGAAUUACUGGGCGUAAAGCGUGCGCAGGCGGUUGUGCAAGUCUGAUGUGAAAGCCCCGGGCUCAACCUGGGAACUGCAUUGGAGACUGCACGGCUAGAGUGCGUCAAAGGGGGGUAGAAUUCCACGUGUAGCAGUGAAAUGCGUAGAGAUGUGGAGGAAUACCGAUGGCGAAGGCAGCCCCCUGGGAUGACACUGACGCUCAUGCACGAAAGCGUGGGGAGCAAACAGGAUUAGAUACCCUGGUAGUCCACGCCCUAAACGAUGUCAAUUAGCUGUUGGGGGUUUGAAUCCUUGGUAGCGUAGCUAACGCGUGAAAUUGACCGCCUGGGGAGUACGGCCGCAAGGUUAAAACUCAAAGAAAUUUGAACGGA